GAAAUGCGAUAAGUAAUGUGAAUUGCAGAAUUCAGUGAAUCAUCGAAUCUUUGGACGCACAUUGCGCCCGCCAGUAUUCUGGCGGGCACGCCUGUUCGAGCGUCAUUUCAACCAUCAAGCCCCCGGCUUGUGUUGGGGACCUGCGGCUGCCCGCAGGCCCUGAAAACCAGUGGCGGGCUCGCUGUCACACCGAGCGUAGUAGCAUACAUCUAGCUCAGGGCGUGCUGCGGGAUCCGGCCGUUAAACGACCUCUAUAACCCAAGGUUGACCUCGGAUCAGGCAGGAAGACCCGCUGAACUUAA
rnacentral:misc_RNA from 1 species